CGUAGACGUCAACAGAUCAUUCAUUGAACAAUGUUCAUUGUUUCAUUAAAAUACAUCACGGGUUACGUGGAACACUUUAACGCGGUACAUAUAUAGUUAGGGCAAGCAUUGAUGACAGUGACAAUCCAAAGUGCCGCGCUUUUUAGCAAGAGUCAUAGAGUCAGUUUAAAAUAAAAAUUGUGCAAAAUAAUUACGCGCGCCUAAAAUGAUACUUGCUCGAAUAUGGGUCUUCGCUUGGACUCUUCCAAGCAUGUAUACAGCAUUACAGAAAAAUCAUGAUACAUAUUUUUAUAGAUCUCUGAUAAAGCUUUCGUAUCCUGAUAAAAACCUAGAGUGUUUUAUAACGUAAUCGCCUAGUGCUCGUAUAGCUUAUUUUUCUCACGACUAUUGUUUUUAAAUUUUGAAUAAAACUGUGAUUAAAAGUUUUUUCUAUUUAGAGAAUGGAAUUAGAAAGAUUCUCUUUCUUUCAUCGAUCCUGUUUUCUAUACACCACUUAGUGGUUUAUUUUUUCAACGACAGUGGUGUCUUUUGUCGAGAAAAUUUGCGAUACUAGAGCAACAUUACAUUUUACACUCGAGUCUUUCAAGUGCCUAAGGAUGGCCUCGGGCAAAGAGCAUGAUUUAGGACGCAGAGUGUUUCCAAACCUGCAUCAUCGGGCAAAAAGUAGGUCUAGGGAAUCAGCUGACCGAAAGGGGCGCGUGCGCUUCGUUGAAAGCAGAAGACAUUUGAAACGCCCACUAUACACACCUACUCGCCGAAUUCCGGAAAAAGGGAGUCUUCGGAACCGCGGAUAUUGAUAAGGCUACAAAAAAAGACUUCGCGCUUAAGUGAUCACUGAUUACACCUACGCACACGUGCGCGGACACGUAUUAUAUUUAGGAAUGUAGGCCACGCGUAUCGGAUUGAUAUGACACUUUAUAUAUUUAAAAAAUAACUAUCAAAGUAUUAUUUACUUCUUUUUUUAAAACACGUUUACUGCUACGCCAGUCACUGGUAACUGAUACUCGGAUGGCGGACCAUGAAGAGAGCCCUAAUUUUAAUUCAAUUUUGUAUUUCUUAUUAUUUUCAUUUUCCAAAUAUUAUUUUGUUCCUUUAAAAGUGAUGCUUCCAAUAUAAGAAACUCAAUAUAAGAAACUUAAUUUGAAAAUUGAGGCAAUUGUAUGAGGAGUGAUUAAAAUAUGUGUUUUCAAAUUGAAUGACUUAAUUAAUUUUAUUUAAAAUUUUUUUUAGUUAGUUGAACAUGUUUGUUGAGGAAAGAUUUUAAAAUUUAAUUUUGCCCCAUCUGUUGCUUAACCGUUAUAUCAGCGCACUUUGCAAUGCACACGUAACGAAUCUUUGACCAUGACCGAGUGAGCGUUUAGCGUGGACAAACAUAGUCAAGAUUGAUAUGACAUUUACGUAAAGAGCAGUUUGAUUUUGAAAUUGUCAGUUUUCAGUGGCUGCGAAAUAUACGCUGCUCUUUUUACUUUGAAACAGUUCGCGAAGCUUUUAUCUUCGCAUACGCGUGUACAGUCAUUCGUACUAUAACGAUACUCUCUCCAUUGCGUAAAACGGCUUUCUUAAACAAAAGAGGAUUUGUCGGUGAAAGGCGUUUCGUUGUUAGUCGUGAGAAAAAAAAGUAGUGCAGUGACAUACGGGAAAAUCUCAUUACUUAACCAUACUACACCAGCUUGCCUUCUGUAAUCGUAAAAUCGUUAUGAACUAGUUCAUUUUGUUAAAUAAAAAUCUUGAUAUUAACCCUUCUCAGUCGAGCGAGUCGCAAACUAAAUUUUCUGCCAAUAUCAAUACUAAUUUAUCUCUUUUCUCCUAAAAAAAAAAAGAGUUACGACAAAGUGAAUUUUUCCGCAUUAAACAAACAGUAUAAGUCAAUUAGCUCGAAAAAGGUAAUAAAGCGCGCAAGGAAAGUAACUACGGUGCAUUAAGUUAAUUACUAUCCGCAAUUAUUUUUUUCUUCCUUCACGACACAGUGAAACGCUAUCAUCGACGAUGCUUCCGCGUACGUAUAUAGAACGUCAGCAUGAAAACGCGGCGGAUUCCCAUCGUUAUGUCAUCGUAGCAUCAAAUUAGGAGGUAAAGUAACGAGGGAAAGCUAGCUUGAUUAAUUGUUCCGAUGAUUCAGUGAUGAAGUACUCGCCGCAGCAGCAA